GAGUUCGUUGUAAAAUUCACUAGCAAGAGAUAAUGGCUUCAAAGAAGUGCUUGCUUGUUUUUGUAGUUCUCUUUUUUUGUAUCUUGAGUUUUUCUGCCAAAACAUUAGCAAGAAACAUUGUCGAUUCUUCUGAACUUUAUGCAUUUUCAGAUGAAAAGGGUCUGAAUAAGAGACUCCUCCAAGAAAAUCGAAGAGCUCCAUGUAAAAGGGGAAAAAGGGACCAAAUGAGACAGGCUAGAGAUAAUCCCCGUUGCCACAAUUAUCUAUGAAUGAUAUAGGUGUUAUUAGGUUGUAAUUAAUUGUAAGAAAGAUGUUAGGGAAAAAUCAAAAUAGAGAGACAUACUGUUUGUUAAGUUUGAUUUUUAUUUUUGACAAAUUUUUAGUUUGAUUUAUAUUCACUGCAAAUUAUACUAAUAGAACUAUGUACCUUUUUUUUACAAUGCAUUGUAAAUUUAAAUGGUUUGAAUAAUUUGAGAUAUUAUUGAAACUA